GAAUCUUGGACAAUGGGCGAAAGCCUGAUCCAGCGACGCCGCGUGACUGAUGAAGCCCCUCGGGGUGUAAAGGUCUUUCAGCGGGGACAAUCAUGAUGGUACCCGCAGAAGCAGCUGCGGCUAACUACGUGCCAGCAGCCGCGGUAAUACGUAGGCAGCAAGCGUUGUUCGGAAUUACUGGGCGUAAAGCGAGUGUAGGCGGUUUGCCAAGUCCGUUGUGAAAUCUCCCGGCUCAACUGGGAGGGUGCGCCGGAAACUGGCAGGCUAGAGUGCGGAAGGGGAGAGUGGAAUUCCUGGUGUAGCGGUGAAAUGCGUAGAUAUCAGGAGGAACACCGGUGGUGAAGACGGCUCUCUGGGCCGCCACUGACGCUGAGACUCGAAAGCGUGGGGAGCAAACAGG
rnacentral:rRNA from 1 species